AUGGAGGAUGUCCAGCUGCUCGUCCUCCUCGGCCUCUUCUCCAAGCGUCCAUCCUAUCGCAACUCAGCUUCAGUUCCAGUAGAAAAUAACAAGUUGAGUAGACCGACUAGCUUUUUGCAAUUUAGACAUGCCUUUAUUCACAAAAAAGCAGGCAGUGUGGGUAAGUUUUCGACUCUAUGCAAUUCUCGGUGCAAGGGCCCCCGCUUCCUUGUUGUGACGUUGCAGCCUCACCGGCCCUUCUGCAGGCAAGAGUUAUGUCCAGAUGAGCUAACCCUUUACUAUCCAAACCUUCUGAAGGUCAUUAGCUCUGAUUCUUUGGAAAAAAGGUUGAGAGCUAUACACAACAACGCUAAAGAUGGAGCGGCCUGCCAUGUAUUAGGGCAUACACAUUUCUGUUGGGAUUAUGCGGUUGACAAUAUCAGGUAUGUACAAGCGCCUCUGGCAUACCCUCGAGAAAGAAAGCGAAGGAUAAAUGGACGCCAAGGAUGGCUGCCGUUUUUUGUAUAUUGUGAUGGCUUCAACCCUGAAACAAGAAUAGAAGGGAGCCUGAGAACACUCAGCUUGCGCCAUGGGUCAUCCGACUUCUUGUUCAUCAGGCUUCAACUAGGCAGGCUUGGGACUCGCGGUGGCGGGCGGCCUCACGCUGGAGCUGGGUCAUCCAACUUCUUGUUUAUCAGGUUACUGUUUGAUAAAAUGCAAGAUAUUUCUGUUUGGAAGGGUUUCCUGACAUCCGGACAGGUCAUACUUUUGCAAGCUGAGUGGGUAUGCGGGCUACUG
rnacentral:rRNA from 1 species